rnacentral:rRNA from 1 species
UACGUAGGGUGCGAGCGUUAAUCGGAAUUACUGGGCGUAAAGCGUGCGCAGGCGGUUCGUUGUGUCGGUGGUGAAAUCCCCGGGCUUAACCUGGGGAAUGGCCAUGGAAACUGGCGAACUGGAGUGCGGCAGAGGGGGGUGGAAUUCCGCGUGUAGCAGUGAAAUGCGUAGAGAUGCGGAGGAACACCGAUGGCGAAGGCAGCCCCCUGGGCUAGCACUGGCGCUCAGGCACGAAAGCGUGGGGAGCAAACAGG